rnacentral:rRNA from 1 species
AACAACAGGGAUUACCUUAGUAACGGCGAGUGAAGCGGUAAAAGCUCAAAUUUGAAAUCUUCGGAAUUGUAAUUUGACGGAUAGAAUUGCUAUUAAAAAAAGUUCACUGGAAUGUGACGCCACAGAGGGUGAUAGCCCCGUUAAUUAAAAGCACUAUAAUUCUAUUCCUAAGAGUCGGGUUGUUUGGGAAUGCAGCUCAAAGUGGGUGGUAAAUUCCAUCUAAAGCUAAAUAUUGGCGAGAGACCGAUAGCGAACAAGUACAGUGAUGGAAAGAUGAAAAGAACUUUGAAAAGAGAGUGAAAUAGUACGUGAAAUUGUUGAAAGGGAAGGGAAAGGGGGAGAUAAUUCAAGACAAUACUUCGGUGUUACUUGACCACAUCUUGCUCUUUUCACCCGUCUUGAAACACGGACCA